UACGUAGGGGGCAAGCGUUGUCCGGAAUUAUUGGGCGUAAAGAGCUCGUAGGCGGUUUGUCGCGUCUGCUGUGAAAUCCCGAGGCUCAACCUCGGGCUUGCAGUGGGUACGGGCAGACUAGAGUGCGGUAGGGGAGACUGGAAUUCCUGGUGUAGCGGUGGAAUGCGCAGAUAUCAGGAGGAACACCGAUGGCGAAGGCAGGUCUCUGGGCCGCAACUGACGCUGGAG
rnacentral:rRNA from 1 species